GGCCCGUGGGUCAAGCGGUGAAGACACCGCCCUUUCACGGCGGUAACACGAGUUCGAGUCUCGUACGGGUCACCA
rnacentral:tRNA from 1 species